ensembl:lncRNA
AAGAGAGAAGAUGAACUGGAGAUUUGCUCUGUAACACUUAACUAACACUGACUACAUUUAAUGUGAGAACUACACUCCAUUCAGCCAAUAAUUAUCAUUGUGAGUUAGACUAACUAAUAGUUAACCGUAUAUGACAGUGACAGUUAUUUAGUCGGUGUUGAGUUACAGUUCAGAGAACUAUUAGGAGGACCUAGCAACCGCUUAGCUCUGAAUGCUAACUGGGCUCCAGCUAGCCUAGCAUUAGGUCGUUGGACAAGGGUGGCUUAUUCGGCAACCUACACAUCACAGCGUCCCUACUGCCCAGAAAACCCCAACGAGAAAGAGACAGCGGAGUCUAGGCAGUGGACAACUCUGGUCGGCAUCGUGGUGUGUGUUGAGGUCACGGGCUGUAUGAAGUCCUCGCUGUGAGACCGGUCUAACAGCAUAGGAGAUACUGAGAGUCUGGAGCCUAAACACUCUACCUGUGACAGGCCAGAUCUCCAUCGGGAGAGAACUAUGUUGGUCUGACGUUGGAGAUGUCCUGAUAGCAUUAAUAAGAAAACGUAUCUGCAGGGCAACCCCACAGGUGACCGUGAACACACACAUUACACACCAGCCUCGCAUGUGACCGUUUACACACACAUUACACACCAACCCCGC